rnacentral:rRNA from 1 species
AUAGCGUAUAUUAAAGUUGUUGCAGUUAAAAAGCUCGUAGUUGGAUUUCUGAGAGGGUGACAAUGUCCGCCUCGAUGCGUGAUCAGCGGCGCCCUCUCAUCCUUCUGUUAACGUUUCUGAUAUUCACUUAUUGGUCUCGGGCUCAGAUAUUUUACCUUGAGAAAAUUAGAGUGUUCCAGGCAGGCUUGCGCCGGAAUACAUUAGCAUGGAAUAAUAGAAUAGGACUUUAGUCUCCUUUGUUGGUUUGAGGGACUGAAGUAAUGAUUAAUAGGGAUAGUUGGGGGCAUUAGUAUUUAAUUGUCAGAGGUGAAAUUCUCGGAUUUGUUAAAGACUAACUUAUG